rnacentral:lncRNA from 1 species
UCUGUAGCUACGUAUGCUUCUGUUAUAGACUCUUCAGGCCAUGCUUUAUUAUGUGCAUAUUUUUUUAGGAUACACAAAAAUCUGUAAAUAAAAAUAAAUUUAAAUUUUAAAAAUAUAUUUAUAUUUUAUAACUGAUAUGAUAAAGUGCGUAUAAUUUUUUUACCUUUCAAUAGGAUACAUCCACCAAUAAUAUAUCGGUCC